AUCAUCAUCCCAAGAAUUUGAGAACGAUUCAAGGUUUUGAGUUUCUAUGGAUGAUCAUGACGAAAGAAUGGAAGCUGAUACAGCUGCAUUGGAUGAUUUAAAAUUAUUGAUUGAGAGUAUUAAAUACCGACACGAAGAUUUAGAAUUUCAGGAGCAAGCUCUGAAAACCAUCGCAUCUAUAUUUCGGACCAGUGACAAUACAUCGAGCUUCUUGGUUCAUACGAAUGGUUUAGAACACAUCUUAAAGAUACUGAUAUCCCCUGACGACCAAC